UGAGGCAGGAGAAUUGCUUGAACCCAGGAGGUGGAGGUUGCAGUGAGCCGAGAUGAUGCCACUGUACUCCAGCCUGGGUGACAGAACGAGACUC
rnacentral:miRNA from 1 species